AAACCCACCCGGCCCACAAAAAGCGGAACACCGAGCUCGCAGGCCGGAAGCAGAUUGCGCGCAUGCGCUAGGGAAGACUGCGUUGCUAGCAGCUGAGUGAAGGCCGAAAGGGCCAAUGGAAACGUUAGACGACGCCCGGGCCUCUGGGUAGAGCGUUGGUGUCUGCUUUCGUGAAAUCGAGUUGCCUACCCCAGAGCUUUCCCGAGACGGUCUUCGUUACAGGUGUCUGGGAGGCGGCUUAAGCUCACUUCACUAGGUCAUUAAGCAUGUACUUUGGUGGUUACAUAUAUCUUGGAAGUCACCGGCUUUACAUUCUGUUUUCCUGGCCUUCGAACUGGAGCAUCAGUACUACCGCCGUUGGAAUAGCAACCUGGAGACUGCUAUUUUGUGAAGAAACUCCAACUAUCCCCAUGGGCACAGAAUUUUGGGUGCUCUGGUGCAAAUGUCUCAGUUCUGGAGGCUGGGAAGUCAAAGACAAGGCACUGGCAGAUUCCAUGACUGGAAAGGAGAGAAGGUCUCUGAGGAAGUGACAUUCCAGCUGAGACGUGAAGGAUAAGUAGAAACCAAGCAGAAGAAUUGGAAGAGGAAAGGGAAGAGGGAAAAGCCUGUGCCAAUGCCCUGAGAUUGGAAUAUGCUUUUUGUGUUUAAGAAAUUAACAGAAGGCGAAGCACAUCUCUGGCUGCCCUCAGUACACUAAGAGAAUCACACCUCAGAGGUGGCUGCAUUUUAUUGUUGGGAGUAAGUACUUUUUAAAUUUUGAGAAAUGUUAGAGAUUUCCCAAAACCUCACUAGAAGUAUGAAGCCUUGAUUAGAAAGAUAAAGGGAUUUGGUUCCAGGUCACACAGCAAAUUAAGUGGCAGAAUUAAGUUAUGAACCUAGACUUACUCCUUU